CGACCCUUCUUAAAGCCGAGGGUCACCUAGCCAACUGACGUUGUUAGUGAAUGAUAUUGUUCACAUAUUAUAGAGGCCAAUCGUGCAUUACGAUUGGCUAUUUUUUU
rnacentral:sRNA from 1 species